rnacentral:rRNA from 1 species
CAGCCGUAAACAAUGUGCGUUAGGUGUGUCGGUAACCACGCGUUACUGAUGCGCCGAAGAGAAAUCGUAAAACGCACCACCUGGGAAGUACGGUCGCAAGGCUGAAACUUAAAGGAAUUGGCGGGGGAGCACCACAACAGGUGGAGCCUGCGGUUUAAUUGGAUUCAACGCCGGACAUCUCACCGGAUAAGACAGCUGAAUGAUUGUCAAUCUGAAGGUUUUACAUGACUAGCUGAGAGGAGGUGCAUGGCGUCAGUG